rnacentral:rRNA from 1 species
AGCAGCCGCGGUAAUUCCAGCUCCAAUAGCGUAUAUUAAAGUUGUUGCAGUUAAAAAGCUCGUAGUUGAAUUUCGGGGUUAGUAGGUUGGUCAUGCCUCUGGUAUGUACUGGUCUCACUGAUUCCUCCUUCCUGAUGAGCCGUAAUGCCAUUAAUUUGGUGUUGCGGGGAAUUUGGACUGUUACUUUGAAAAAUUAGAGUGUUUAAAGCAAGCUAACGCUUGAAUACAUUAGCAUGGAAUAAUGAAAUAGGACGUUCGAUCCUAUUUUGUUGGUUUCUAGGAUUGACGUAAUGAUUAAUAGGGAUAGUUGGGGCAUUAGUAUUC